rnacentral:rRNA from 1 species
UAUCUACAACAUAAUGUUAAUGCACCUAAUCCCAUUAGAACUCUGUAGUUAAGCACGCUCCAGCUAGAGUAGCACUGGGAUGGGUGACUACCCAGGAAGUCCUAGUAUUUUACAUGC